AAUACUCCCUCCGUCCGGAAAUACUUGUCAUCAAAAUGGAUAAAAGGAAAUGUAUCUAGACGUAUUUUAGUUUUAGAUACAUCUCUUUUUAUCCAUUUUGAUGAUAAGUAUUUUCGGACGGAGGGAGUAGAAA
rnacentral:pre_miRNA from 1 species